GAUCAUGGCUCAGGAUUAACGCUGGCGGCGUGCAUAACACAUUCAAGUCGAACGGAGAGAGGCAGCUUCGGUUGCGUCAAUCAGUGGCGGACGGGUGAGUAACGCGUGAGUAACCUGCCUGUAAGAGGGGGGAUAACACCUGGAAACGGGUGCUAAUACCGCAUAAAUCAUAGUUGUCGCAUGGCAGCGAUGUAAAAGAGGAAUUGCUUACAGAUGGACUCGCGUCUGAUUAG
rnacentral:rRNA from 1 species